rnacentral:rRNA from 1 species
UACGUAGGGGGCAAGCGUUGUCCGGAAUCAUUGGGCGUAAAGAGCGUGUAGGCGGCUCGGUAAGUCCGCUCUGAAAGCCCGGGGCUCAACCCCGGGAGGCGGGCGGAUACUGUCGGGCUAGAGUCCGGAAGAGGCGAGUGGAAUUCCUGGUGUAGCGGUGAAAUGCGUAGAUAUCAGGAGGAACACCUGUGGUGUAGACGGCUCUCUGGACCGCAACUGACGCUGAGACACGAAAGCGUGGGUAGCAAACAGG